GACGAACCGAGCGAACGUUGUUCGGAAUCACUGGGCUUAAAGGGCGCGUAGGCGGGCUGUCAAGUUUGGGGUGAAAUCCCACGGCUCAACCGUGGAACUGCCUCAAAUACUGACGGUCUCGAGGGAGAUAGGGGCGAGCGGAACUAAUGGUGGAGCGGUGAAAUGCGUUGAUAUCAUUAGGAACUCCGGUGGCGAAGGCGGCUCGCUGGAUCUUUUCUGACGCUGAGGCGCGAAAGCUAGGGGAGCGAACGGG
rnacentral:rRNA from 1 species